GAUGAACGCUGGCGGCGUGCCUAAUACAUGCAAGUCGAGCGAACAGACGAGGAGCUUGCUCCUCUGACGUUAGCGGCGGACGGGUGAGUAACACGUGGAUAACCUACCUAUAAGACUGGGAUAACUUCGGGAAACCGGAGCUAAUACCGGAUAAUAUAUUGAACCGCAUGGUUCAAUAGUGAAAGACGGUUUUGCUGUCACUUAUAGAUGGAUCCGCGCCGCAUUAGCUAGUUGGUAAGGUAACGGCUUACCAAGGCAACGAUGCGUAGCCGACCUGAGAGGGUGAUCGGCCACACUGGAACUGAGACACGGUCCAGACUACUACGGGAGGCAGCAGUAGGGAAUCUUCCGCAAUGGGCGAGAGCCUGACGGAGCAACGCCGCGUGAGUGAUGAAGGUCUUCGGAUCGUAAAACUCUGUUAUUAGGGAAGAACAAAUGUGUAAGUAACUAUGCACGUCUUGACGGUACCUAAUCAGAAAGCCACGGCUAACUACGUG
rnacentral:rRNA from 1 species